UACGUAGGGUGCAAGCGUUUGUCCGGAAUUAUUGGGCGUAAAGAGCUCGUAGGCGGUCUGUCGCGUCGGCUGUGAAAACCUGAGGCUCAACCUCGGGCCUGCAGUCGAUACGGGCAGACUAGAGUUCGGUAGGGGAGACUGGAAUUCCUGGUGUAGCGGUGGAAUGCGCAGAUAUCAGGAGGAACACCGGUGGCGAAGGCGGGUCUCUGGGCCGAUACUGACGCUGAGGAGCGAAAGCGUGGGGAGCGAACAGG
rnacentral:rRNA from 1 species